AGAACGAACGCUGGCGGCAGGCCUAACACAUGCAAGUCGAACGCCGUAGCAAUACGGAGUGGCAGACGGGUGAGUAACGCGUGGGAACAUACCCUUCGGUUCGGAAUAACUCAGGGAAACUUGAGCUAAUACCGGAUACGUCCGAGGUUUUAAUCGACCUUGGAGAAAGAUUUAUCGCCGGAGGAUUGGCCCGCGUCUGAUUAGCUUGUUGGUGAGGUAAUGGCUCACCAAGGCGACGAUCAGUAGCUGGUCUGAGAGGAUGAUCAGCCACAUUGGGACUGAGACACGGCCCAAACUCCUACGGGAGGCAGCAGUGGGGAAUAUUGGACAAUGGGCGAAAGCCUGAUCCAGCCAUGCCGCGUGAGUGAUGAAGGCCUUAGGGUUGUAAAGCUCUUUACCCGGGAAGAUAAUGACGGUACCGGGAGAAUAAGCCCGGCUAACUUCGCGCCAGCAGCCGC
rnacentral:rRNA from 1 species